UGGAGGUUCAGGUGGAGGUGAAGAGAUGGAGGUGCAGGUGGAGGUGAAGAUGUAGAGGUGAAGAUGGAGGUGGAAGUGGAGGUGAAGAUGGGGAGGUGAAGAGGUGGAGGUGAGGAUGGAGGUGGGGAGGUGAAGAGAUGGAGGUGGAGGUGAGGAUGGGGGUGAGGAUGGAGAUGAGGAUGGAGGCGGAGGUGAAAGGAUGGAGGUGAAGGGAUGGAGGUGGGGAUGGAGAUGGAGGUGGGGAUGGAGAUGGAGGUGGGGAUGGAGAUGGAGGUGAAGAUGAGGAGAUGGAGGUGGGGAUGGAGGUGAGGAUGGAGAUGGAGGUGGGGAUGGAGCUGCCGCUGCCUUUGGCCUCUCUUUGCGUUCGCGGGGCUUUGGAUCGAACGGCAAAUCGCAGACGCGGCUUUUCGGAGGGUUUCAAAAUGGUUGCUUAGGAUUCGUCCCUCGUUGCCGGCGUCAGUGGGAACCCGGCGCGUUUCCCCGUGCCAUGAAUUCCCUCCUCCCUCGCUCCUCAGUCCCUGAUUCUAAUUUCAUCUUGGAGCCCUGACAACUUUUCAAUGCCCGCCGGCGCUGCUCUGCCUCGGCGCCUUGGUGGCGUCGCGUUUGCGUCUCUGCGUCGAUGCCAUCGAUGCCCCAACCUGGCAGCACCACGGGGGGGGGGGGAUUUUGGGGCCUGGAUCCCUGAUGCUGGGCUGCGGUGGAAGUCGGGUCCUGAGUCUGUUUGUCUGCGUGGGGCUGUCUGUGUGUCCUGGGGUGGUUGGGAGGGUCCUGAAAGGUCAUGGGUUCAUUGAAGGGUUGGAAGGUCCUUAAAGAUCACAGGGCCAUGGGGUGGUUGGGUUGGAAAGGUCCUUAAAGAGGGGAAAGCAGGAGGCUGGGAUGGGGAGGCGUUGGAUGGCUUGGUUGUAGGGCUGUGGGGUGGUUGGGUUGGAAGGGUCCUUAAAGGUUGUAGGUUCAUUGAAAGGUUGGAAGGGUCCUUAAAGAUCACAGGGCCAUGGGGUGGUUGGAAGGGUCCUUAAAGAUCAUAGAACCUUGGGAUCAGUUGGAAGGGUCCUUAAAGAUCACAGGCUGUAGAAUGGUUGGCUUGGAAGGGUCUUUAAACUACAGAGCCAUGGGAUGGUUGGGCUGGAAAGGUCCUUAAAGACCAUAAAGCCAUAAAGCAUGGGUUGGAAGGGUCCUUAAAGAUCACAGGGCCGUGGGGUGGUUGGGUUGGAAGGGUCCUUAAAGAGGGGAAAGCAGGGGGCUGGGAUGGGGAGGCGUUGGAUGGCUUGGUUGUAGGGCUGUGGGGUGGUUGGGAUGGGAGGGUCCUUGAAGGUCGUGGGUUCAUUGAAGGGUUGGAAGGGUCCUUAAAGAUCAUCAGACCAUGGAAUGGGUUGGAAGGGUCCUUAAAGAUCAUAGAACCAU